AUUCCUGCCCAGUGACUUCUAAGUUAAACGGCCGCGGUAUUCUGACCGUGCAAAGGUAGCAUAAUCAUUUGUUCCCCAAUUAGGGACUAGUAUGAAUGGCUAGACGAGGAUUCAACUGUCUCUUAUUCCCAAUCAGUGAAAUUGACCUUCCAGUGAAGAGGCUGGAAUAAAACAAUAAGACGAGAAGACCCUAUGGAGCUUUAAUUAACUAGCCUAAUUAUAAUACUAAAACCCUAAUGGAACAAAAACAUAAACAUUAAGCUAACAAUUUUGGUUGGGGUGACCUCGAAGAACAAAAAACCCUCCGAAUGAUUAUAGCACAGACAAACAAGUCAAAGCAAUCCACUAUAUCCAAUUGACCCAAAAACACUUUGACCAACGGACCAAGUUACCCUAGGAAUAACAGCGCAAUCCUAUUUAAGAGUCCAUAUCGACAAUUAGGGUUUACGACCUCGAUGUUGGAUCAGAAACCCCAAUGGUGCAGAAGCUAUUAAAGGUUCGUUUGUUCA
rnacentral:rRNA from 1 species